CGGAGUAUAAUAGAAUAAUAUUAUUAGGUUUUACGCUUUAUUUGAUUGAACGAGAAAAAGUACUCGUCGGAAAGUUAUAUUGUUAUGGCGCAACUGAGUAGUUUAAUGUAGUUCCGGUUUUGGUUCUUGUGAACGUUGACAUUGAUUCGUUCCAAAUUUACACUCUCGGGGCAUAAUAGAAAUCUUUUACUCUUUGUUCGAUAGAAUGAGAAAAAGUACUCGUUGCAAAGUUACACUGUUAUGGCGCAAC
rnacentral:lncRNA from 1 species